rnacentral:tRNA from 1 species
GUUAAUGUAGCUUAAUACAAAGAAAGCACUGAAAAGCUUAGAUGGUUAUUUUACCCCCAAUC